UACGUAGGGGGCAAGCGUUGUCCGGAUUUAUUGGGCGUAAAGAGCGUGCAGGCGGCUUUACAGGUCCGUUGUGAAAACUCGAGGCUCAACCUCGAGACGCCGGUGGAAACCGUAAGGCUAGAGUCCGGAAGAGGAGAGUGGAAUUCCUGGUGUAGCGGUGAAAUGCGCAGAUAUCAGGAGGAACACCCGUGGCGAAAGCGGCUCUCUGGGACGGUACUGACGCUGAGACGCGAAAGCGUGGGGAGCGAACAGG
rnacentral:rRNA from 1 species